AUUGAACGCUGGCGGCAGGCCUAACACAUGCAAGUCGAGCGGAUGAAGGGAGCUUGCUCCUGGAUUCAGCGGCGGACGGGUGAGUAAUGCCUAGGAAUCUGCCUGGUAGUGGGGGAUAACGUCCGGAAACGGGCGCUAAUACCGCAUACGUCCUGAGGGAGAAAGUGGGGGAUCUUCGGACCUCACGCUAUCAGAUGAGCCUAGGUCGGAUUAGCUAGUUGGUGGGGUAAAGGCCUACCAAGGCGACGAUCCGUAACUGGUCUGAGAGGUUGAUCAGUCACACUGGAACUGAGACACGGUCCAGACUCCUACGGGAGGCAGCAGUGGGGAAUAUUGGACAAUGGGCGAAAGCCUGAUCCAGCCAUGCCGCGUGUGUGAAGAAGGUCUUCGGAUUGUAAAGCACUUUAAGUUGGGAGGAAGGGCAGUAAGUUAAUACCUUGCUGUUUUGUCGUUACCAACAGAAUAAGCACCGGCUAACUUCGUG
rnacentral:rRNA from 1 species